rnacentral:rRNA from 1 species
UGCGGAGGGAGCUAGCGUUGUUCGGAUAUACUGGGCGUAAAGCGCACGUAGGCGGCGCAGCAAGUCAGGGGUGAAAUCCCGGAAGCUCAACUCCGGAACUGCCUUUGAAACUGCAGUGCUAGAAUCCUGGAGAGGCGAGUGGGAAUUCCGAGUGUAGAGGUGAAAUUCGUAGAUAUUCGGAAGAAACACCAGUGGCGAAGGCGACUCGCUGGACAGGUAGUUGACGCUGAGGUGCGAAAAGCGUGGGGAGCAAACAGGG